rnacentral:rRNA from 1 species
UACGGAGGAUCCAAGCGUUAUCCGGAUUCAUUGGGUUUAAAGGGUGCGUAGGCGGAAUGAUAAGUCAGUGGUGAAAUCCUUCAGCUUAACUGGAGAACUGCCAUUGAUACUGUCAAUCUUGAGUACAUUUGAUGUGGGCGGAAUGUGUCAUGUAGCGGUGAAAUGCUUAGAUAUGACACAGAACACCGAUUGCGAAGGCAGCUAUCUGGCCAUGUACUGACACUGAAACACGAAAGCGUGGGGAGCAAACAGG